AUCUGCCAGCCGCGCCUCGCAGGCCAGCACGUCCGUCGGCCAUGGCACACAACGGCGGUGGCAGGUCGGUCUUGCUGGUCCUGGCCUUAGGUCUGCUGGCGUCAACCCACUGCUGGCCUCUGAAAACGUUUGAGCUCGAGCUCGAGCCUCCGACAGAAUGUCCAGAAGGCUGGCUCCGCUUCGGCCCUCACUGCCUUCUCCUGGCUGAGGACCGCUUGGGAUGGGAGGCUGCUCGGACUCACUGCGACAAGCUGCAGCCGGGCUCGCAUCUGGCAUCCAUCCCAGACCCAUUCCAGAUGGCAGGCAUGCUGACCAAGGUGCGGCGAGCCGGCGAGGAUUCUGUCUGGAUCGGGCUGUCGGCUCAGCCCUCCG